GACGAACGCUGGCGGCGUGCCUAAUACAUGCAAGUAGAACGCUGAAGGAGGAGCUUGCUUCUCCGGAUGAGUUGCGAACGGGUGAGUAACGCGUAGGUAACCUGCCUGGUAGCGGGGGAUAACUAUUGGAAACGAUAGCUAAUACCGCAUAAGAGUAGAUGUUGCAUGACAUUUGCUUAAAAGGUGCAAUUGCACCACUACCAGAUGGACCUGCGUUGUAUUAGCUAGUUGGUGGGGUAACGGCUCACCAAGGCGACGAUACAUAGCCGACCUGAGAGGGUGAUCGGCCACACUGGGACUGAGACACGGCCCAGACUCCUACGGGAGGCAGCAGUAGGGAAUCUUCGGCAAUGGACGGAAGUCUGACCGAGCAACGCCGCGUGAGUGAAGAAGGUUUUCGGAUCGUAAAGCUCUGUUGUAAGAGAAGAACGAGUGUGAGAGUGGAAAGUUCACACUGUGACGGUAUCUUACCAGAAAGGGACGGCUAACUACGUGCCAGCAGCCGCGGUAAUACGUAGGUCCCGAGCGUUGUCCGGAUUUAUUGGGCGUAAAGCGAGCGCAGGCGGUUAGAUAAGUCUGAAGUUAAAGGCUGUGGCUUAACCAUAGUACGCUUUGGAAACUGUUUAACUUGAGUGCAAGAGGGGAGAGUGGAAUUCCAUGUGUAGCGGUGAAAUGCGUAGAUAUAUGGAGGAACACCGGUGGCGAAAGCGGCUCUCUGGCUUGUAACUGACGCUGAGGCUCGAAAGCGUGGGGAGCAAACAGG
rnacentral:rRNA from 1 species